rnacentral:lncRNA from 1 species
CGCAAACAGAGAUAAGUUACCUGUACUUGCAUUCCUUCCCCAAGACAGGAUGCUGACUUCAAAGGCAAGCAUCAGGUUAUUUGUUCUUGUCGAAGACAUCAAUAGGGUAUCCACUAUCCAAGACAAGGCAAUUGAGGAUGUCUAAUAUCUUCAUAUUUAUGAAGUAAACUGUGAGGAGGAUACAAUCUAUAAUUGCAACAUCUACCUACAGCUGAAAGUAAAUGACCAGCACCAGCACCAGCAGAAAACAUUUAGGUAAUCUUAGUACAUUCUACAUCCCAUUUAUAAACGACAUGCUAGUUACUUAAAUCGUUUUGAUAACAUUUUAUAAAGAGGCCUGGUGGUUGAAUUGAAAAACAAGAUAUAUAUAUAUAUAUAUAUAUAUAUAAAUGUAAAAUUAAAUUCACAAUAGUCAUCAAAAUAAUUCAUAUAAACUUGAGAUAACAUGAGUUGGUGAAUAAUUGAACCAAUGUGAUGGAGAUUUCUUACAAAUCCUCGAUGUCAAUUGCGAAAAAGAAAUUUGAAAUGAAACUAAGGCUAGGGCUAGGGCUAGGGCUAGGGUUUUACAAAUCGAGAAACAACUGAACAAUUGGGAAACCAAGUGAAGGAACUGUUUGUUAUGUAUUUAUAGGUUUGGGAACAGAUUGUUGCUUUCAAGUGAAUUACGCAUUGCGGUAUUUGUUCGCCUCUGUCCCUCAGUAUUUUCAGGCGUUGCGGCAAAUUGAAGCCAAAUGGUUAUUUUUACCAAAAAGCCCAAAACUAGGAGUUUUUAUUACACUAGUCAAGACAAGAUAUUUAUUUCUUUUUUUGACCGAAAUGUCCUUUUAGUAGUAGUGCUUUAAAGCAAGAAGAAGAAAGAGAAGCUAGCCUAAAGGUGAUUUGUGUUGAUUGAUUUCUUCCUGAAAUUAAAUUGUAGAAACAGUGAUGCGCAGAGCAUAUAGGGGAAACCAUUUACGACAUCAUCAACGUGAGCAUUUCUUGCAAGAUUUACAAACUUUUAUCACAAUAUUAAUAUUGUUUUUGAUACUGCUAACAGUAUCACAAAACAUCAACUGCAUGUUAACAUUUAUUUCACAAUCAUUACUUACACAAAAAUGUGCUGUUUUUUUUGCUCUAAUCUUUAUAAGUUCUGCUUGUAUAUUGAUAUGUGAAUAUGCUGGUAGCUUUUGGAUUUGUUUUUCUUGUACAUUGAUCUGUAAAUCAGCUUAAGAACUGAAAAUAUAAUAAACCCUUUCUCAAAUUGAUUUAACUCAAGUUUGAUUUGUUAUAUUAUGGUUGGGGGUCUUAAAAAUUAAAUCUGAUGAUACCCCUAUUUAAUUUGUCAUGUUUGUGAUUCUGGGUUUUUGUCAAUUCAUCAAGCUAAUAAGCUGUGAAUCUGUAUUGUAGGUGAUCCAAACAUGAUGAGAACCACCCAGACAAUGAUAAUUUAAGAAGGAACCAUGGUUUUCUUGGACUUGUAUUGUUUUACACUUGGCUGGUUUUCAGUAUUUCUGAUCUUAUUCCCAUCAAGAACGACUCGCCAUCAUCAAUGACAUUUGUAAUACUAUUAUCUCAUAUUACUUGGGUCGUUAUAUGGUUUAAGGUAUCACUUGGAUUAAGUAUUGCUGCAUGCUCUGUGAAACUUUUAAGCUUCAUUGUGGAGAUUUGUCAAUUUGGUGAUAAUGAGGAAUGGUUCACCUAUUUUUGGUUAUAUGUGCUGCAAGACAUCGUUGAUGCAAAUUGGAGUGAAACUCUCAUUCAUAACAUUUCUCUCAUCUUGUGUUGUUUGAUCUCCAACAUUACUUUUAAUUGGCGUCAAGAUAACAGUGGGUUCAUCUUCGGUGUUCUUGUUUGGUACCUAAGCUUACUGAAUGGUACUCAUGACCACACCUAUGUUGUUAAGCUGGUGAUCAUUUGGGGAUUCUAUUCAAAGGUACGGUUAAUGAAUCUUUAGCUUUGUAUAUACUGUAUGUCUUAUUGUUUAUUUUGUUUUCAACCGGUUGCAGUAUAUAAACUAAUCACUCUACCUAGCUAAUUAAUGAAAUACUUGUUUCCUUGUAGAUGACAGAAUCCAUUCUGCCAAAUCUACUCUCUAAGAUAGGCCGAGUGGUGAAGGAAUCUAUAUUGCCAACUCUGCUCAUUGGGCUUGGCUAUAUUCGUGGCGUGUGGGAUCGCGACCAACAGGCGGUUGUUAACCAGGAAGCUGGCCAAGAUAAUGUGGUGGGAAAUCAAGAGGCAGUUGUUAACCAGGAAGGCCAAGAUGUAGUUGGUAAUGGUGGAAAUCAAGAGGCAGUUGUUAACCAGGAAGGCCAAGAUGUAGUUGGUAAUGGGGGAAAUCAAGAGGCAGUUGUUAACCAGGAAGGCCAAGAUGUAGUUGUUAAUGUGGGAAAUCAAGAGGCGGUUGUUAACCAGGAAGGCCAAGAUGUAGUUGGUAAUGUGGGAAAUCAAGAGGAAGUUAUUUGAGGAACUUAAUAAAGAGCGAAUGUUGCAGAAGAGUCUUCAUCAAUGUAGCAAGGAUUUCAUUUGGUGUUAUUCUGCUCUAAAAUCUGAAAACUUUUUUGUGUUGACUGAAAGAGCAAUUUUUAGUUUACUGGUCUGUAAAUGUAAUUGAUUUCUUUGCUUUAGUUGUAGGGUGACAGUUUAAGAGAAAUGGUACCUGUAGACUUGGUACAAGGAGGCCUUUAGGAUUUGGGAAUACAUUUUGAUUCUGUUAUGGACUUGUGGUGUGCUAUUUUCUCCUCCAUCAUAUUCCAUUCAUUCUGAUCUGUUGCAUUAAUACUGUAUAUGCAUAUAUAUAAUCACAAACAACAAAUGGAAAACAUUGGCAUGGGAAUCUAUCUGCCAUUGUCCAGGAAAAUACUAUUGCAUCUAUAAGGUAGUAGGUAGUUGCAUUUGCAUGCAUGAUGCAUUAGACCUACUGUCAUGCAGUGAUGUACGGUGUCGGGAUUUCUUAAUGCUUAUUAAGCCAUUGGAAAGGACUUUCUUUGGUUCCACCGCCCUUACUUCAUCGCCUAAAAUAUCUUGCGAUAAUUCACAAUGUAUAACUGGUUUUGGGUAAGUACCCAAAAUUAGCUUUUGCUACCUAAUUAACACUUCAACUACUACUAGUAAAAUGUUGCAUUUCGAUCUGUGGGAAUGUUCUUUCUUCCCACAUUUCUUCCCAGCAUUUUGCUAGUAGUAGUAGUAGUAGUAGUACCUUUUUGUUGCAUUUCACUCUCCAUUCCUAUUGUUGCAAGCAUGGCAUGAAUUUCCGCAAUUUAUGAACUGAUAUGAGUGACUACAUUUGUUUUAAUUGUAAUAUUGAUCAGGAUGUGGCCUGUGAGAGAUCCAGUAGCUACCCAGACAGAAUAUUAGUGUGGGAAUGUGAGGAUACCAGGUUGUCAGGUUUCGCUUAGCCAGGGCAAAAAUGAUAUUGCAUAUUUCAUUGUCAGGGCAGAAAAGAAACUUUGGUAAGUGUUAAGAUAAUAGGUAUGAUAGCUAGAGUUUCUGAACUAGUGUUACAUGGUGAGUAUGACUGAAUUUCUUAGUUUUACGCAGCUGUGGAUAGAUAGCCUAAAAAGGGAAAGUCACGCGCCGUCCUGUUAGAAACAUAGUGCAAUUUUUAUACGUUCUCCUUUAGCUUAUAUGCAACAACCCAAAAUAUAUAGGAUGGGGUGUGUGUGUGUUUCUCCUUUGAUUUAAUAGAACGACAUUGAUAUAUUUAGAUUCCAUGAUCACAAAUGACAGUAUGAGUGUAUGACACUGACCACUAUCAAUAAUUUUGUAGAUCAUAACAAUAAGACAUCCUUUAGUUAUAAUAAAUCCGGCCUGAGAUACCAAAAUUAUUAAUUCUUCUUAUUUUUGCAUUUUUUUUUAACUUUCUCCUCGCUCGAUCCAUCAAUAGAUACGACAUACGAGUUUGCCAACUUCUUAGAUAACUAGACAAGUGACCCAGAAACACAGAUCCAUUGACCCACGAAGAGAGCAUUGCAAUUGAGGUUGGGGUUGAGUGCGCUGAAGGCACCACCAGUCAUAUUGCCAUACUGUGCAAAUUCAAAGCAUGUAUCACCAGUUUGCACUCCAAGAACUGUGUCACAACUUGGAGUUUUAGAUUAUGCAUGGUUCACAUUGUAUUAUGUAAUUGAAACUACUACUCAUGAAUAUAUUGCCAAACAGAAUUUGGAUCUAUUGUUGUCUGAGUUAGGUCCUGCCAGCAAUUAAUGCUGGCAACUAAUGAAACUACUGAAUAUAUAUCAAACAUGCAUGGUGCAUCCCAUGAGCCAUGGACUGACACUAUACACUAGACCAGCAAGUGAACAGAAUGGGGAUACAGGGCAUCCCCAUUACUUUAUCAACUAUUUGAACUUUUCACGACUUCGCAAAAUUUAUCUGUACUAUAGAAUUUUAUACUUACGACCAAGAAGCCUGGCAUCAGCCAUUGAGAUGCUUAGAAGAAGUGAUGAGUGCAUCAAAACAAUGCUAAGAAACAUAGCUGCUUUAUUGUUCAUCUUAAUAGCCAUGUGUUAGUCGUCUUACUCUCUCAGCUGAUCAAAGUGGAAGCUUUCUUCUUUUUCCUCUGCUAACUUAUCACUUAUUUAUAGGUAGCCAGCAUUCUCGAUCGUCGCAAUAGAAUGUUUUUUUUUUUUUUUUUUCUAUCUGUUGAUACCAUGGCCGGCUUCUCUAACUAAAGAUUUUCCUGAUGAGUUAAACCAGACAAAAUUUUGGAAUGUUUCUUAUUUCUUAUCAUGCAGGCCAAAUCUCCGGCCUAAAAUUAUUAUUUUCAUUUAAAUUAGUAGCGCAGGCAAAUGAAUGUCUAACUUUUUUUUAAUGAAUUUCUAAUUUAUGAUCACUAAUGUAAAUAGAGAGACAAUCGGACAAAAGGUCUUUUAAGUUCAAGUGUUCAACCAACUUGAUCAUGUUGGUUUAGAAUACAAAAAAUGACGGUGCAAUGGGCUAAGAAAUGAAGUUACCACAAGUCCACAACAAAUCAUGUUGUUAUGGAUCUAAUGAAACAGGAUGGUUACUAAAGCUUACAUUGCAUGCCUAAGGAAGUGAACAAACAACUCCUGAAGAAGGAAGUGUUGGGGUUUUUUUAGUUGUUUUUUCGCCCCCGUGGGGAUGUUAAAUUUUAUAUGCUGAAAGAAAUUAUUCUGAUAAAUUUCAAAAAUGUGGGGUGAGAAACUGAGAAUUGUUAAUUGGCAUUUGUUUUCAAAGAAAGUCUUAAAACAUAUGUGGAUGAGUUUUGUUAUAUGAAAAUAAACUAUCAAAAUUAUACCAAGAAAAAGAAAUGUUGAAAGCAAGAAAGUAUAUGAGUUUUAUAUUUGAAAUCAAAUAAGAAGUCCAAACGUUCAAGAAUGGAUUUGCUAUUCAGAAUCCUAGUCAAGCUGGCUGUGGUGUAGUGUUUAGAGAUCACAAAGGAGACUUUAAGCUAACUGUAUGUAAAGGUAUAUAUGGGAGAAACUACAAAUCACAUGGCUGAAUGCUUAGCUAUUUGUUGAAGCUUUUGAGAUUGCUCUGGAUAAUUAAAGGAUGGUUAGACUUAUGGAUUGAAUCUGAUUCCUUGGCAACAGUCACAGAUUUUGCUGCUGAUUGUUUAUCAUGCAGGUCAAAUAGAGAAAUAUGUAGUCUCCUGUUUAUCAAAAAAAAAAAAAAAAAAUACUUGUCUCCUAAAAUUAUUAUUUUCAUCUUAUACUGGAAAUUGAGGUAUACGUACACUAAGGGUAAUGCAUGCAAGCAUGCCAGAGUUUGGACUUUGGUGGACUUUUUCUUUUACAAGAUGGGUCCAAAUCAGUUCACAUGGUCCAAAUUGAUAUGGAUCCAUGGAUGAGGCCCAUGAGCGAAUCGUACGAUACCAAAAGUCUGAGUCUGAGUCUGAGUCCUUGUUUAUAAAUACUGUGAAAUUUCUGAUUUCCCACGAAAUUGUUGGUUUAGGUUUUGAAAUUGAAAGAAAGAAAGAAAGAAGAAGAAGAAAGAAGAAAUAUCAUGUGGCCACUUGGUGUUAUACCUUCUUCUUCUUCUCAGCAGUGUAAUUCUAAGAAAACAAGAACCAAUAAAGUACAAGUAAUCGUCCAACAGCCACCUUCAUCUUCAUCUUCACCGCCAAUCGAUAUCGAAGAAGAAGGAUUGCCGAAAAACCAUUCUUCUUGGAAAUUUAUCUUUAAGUGUUUUUGGAUGUUUAUCUUGUUUUUUGUACUUAUUAUAGUAUAUAUCGGUAUAUUCCAAAUCAUGAUGAGCUAUAAGUAUAAUCCAUUACAGUUAGAUCUAAUGAACCUUCAGCAGAAUUUUCUCUCUUUGGAAAAUCAUCUUCAUCAAAACAACAACAGUAUCACCAUUCCCUUUAACAUACAGCAAGAUAUGGAACAACUUCAUCAAGAUAUUCUUUCAUUACAAACUCAUAUUCGAGAAUUCACUGUUGCCCAGAAGAAUAAUAAUGUAUCUUUUUCUGAAGAUAAACAACUCAAAGAAUUGGUUACUAUUACCUCUGCUACCAUUCCGAUUCCGGAAUCUAUUGUUUUGGAGCCUUCUAUGGAUAAGGUAAAUUCAGCUUAAUUAUUGAUUUCUUUAAUUCAGACUACUUGUAUUAGCUUGUUUUAGUUGUACAGUACUAGGGUUUAGGGUUUUAUGUUUGAGUAUAUAUAAUAAGGUACAUUAUCUCUUUUUAGUUCUUAAAGAAGUCUUAAUAGGGAUGUAUCAUGUAGGUAUUAUGUUAGCAUCUGAAAUACAGGGAAAUUGAAGGGAGCUGGUUAAAUUCUCCUGUGUCAGGAAGAGACAAGAAACCUAUCCAAAUGUAACCUAGAGGUCUUAUUAAAAUUAAUACUCAGGUUUUUAUGUUGUAGUUGCUCCGAUGAUAGCUUUCGACAUCCCUGCCUUGAGAGUGUGUGUGUGGACGUAUGCUUUAGGUCUGUAGGAUUGAUUUAUUCUAGUGCGUUUUCUCUUCUUUUGUUUGUCGGGGGUGGGGGUUUGGGGGACAUUCUAAUGUGCUACGUUUCACAAUGUUACUGAGGAGGAGAUGAUUACCUUCUGAUGAAUCCUCUUUCACCAAGAGGGUAAUGAGGUCUUUUUCUCAAUUCAUUGUUGUAUGGGACAUUGGGAACUGGCCAACUGGGAAGGGAGAUAAUCACAUAAGUAACCGCCAUCUUUCACUAGGACUAGUGGUUGGUGAAGCCCCUACGAAAUAAAGGUGCUUGGACAUGAGAGAAAUAAGGAGAGAAAUAAGAGUGGAGCUCAACUGCUCAAGGGUAUGUGUGCUUCGUCACAUAAUAGGAUAUGAUAUCUCAUAUAAUGAUUAAUGAGAAGAUUGGGCGGCUUCCAAGUCCUUUGCCCUAAAAAUAAGUUUCACGACAAGUUAAAAUGUUUUGACACAUUGGAGCUCAGUGUGGAUGAACUCUAACUAAAACAAUUAUUUACAUGAUUUUGCAGUGAUAAUUAUAAUCAAUAUAGCACUAGAGUCGUUGAAAAAUCUAUUUUUCGAAUAUUUGCUUAUGAUAAAGCUAUUUGCAGGUAAAUUGUUUUCCCUCCCGAAUCAAAUAUCCCUAACACUGAAUCUAUCCAUUUUACUCAAACAAAAUAAGUUAUACCGUAACAGUUGAACAAUUCAUUUUCUUUUCGGGGGUGUUUAAUUCGAGCCUCAGAAAUAGAUUUUCCAGUAAAUUGUUUUCCUGUAUGAAUCAAACAGACCCGUAGUUUUCAUUGAUGUUAUCAAAAUGUUGGAACUUUUGUACUGCUGAUUGACUACUUUUGUUUUAAUUGUGAUAUCAGGAUGUAGCAGAUGAGAGAUCUAGUAGCUAUUCUGGCAGAAUUUUAAUGCGGGAAAGUGAGCAUACAAGGCCGUCAAGAUUUACUUAGUCAUGGACUCGUGGUAAAAAGAAAAUUGCAUAUUUCAUUGUUACUUGUGUAGAGAAAAAAUUUGGUGAGUGUUAAGACGAAGAACUUCAUGUAAAUAGAAUGCUAUAGGGGAAUGCUAGACAUAGUAGGACUUAAACUAAGUAGUAGUGUAGUAGCCUCCUAUUACAAAGACGACAUUAGGACAGAAUUUCUCUUUCCCUUGUUUGACGUACUUUGGUUUAUUCUUGAUUUCUAUAUCUUUGGAAUACUUUUUUUUUUUUUUUUUUGCAAGAUAUAUCUUUGGAAUAUUGAUUACAUGGUACAAGAGCAUUAUGACUUAUGAGCAAUAUACGUCUAUCACUGUCUAUGGUGGUGGGUUGUAUGGCCGGGAAACAAUUGGUUGAAUUUGUUUUGUAAUCUGAUGAAUUCUGGUGAUCUUGUUUUGAUGUGUUCCAUGUAUGUCCAUCUUAAAAGUAAUGGUGGGACAAUGAAGGCCUUUAAUAAAAUUGUUACCUUUAUAGCUGUGUUAUCCGUGUGACUUCUAGCCUCAGUGAAGGUGAGGGCUUAAGUGCUUUACAACAUCACAUGAUAUAGUAUUUGUUUGCUGGUACAUGUUUAUAAUCACUAAUGGAGCAUGAUGUUCCUAAGCUUAAAAUGUAUAAAUGAAGUGAACAGACAACCCCUCAAGAAAGAAGUGUUGCAUUUCUGAGCCGGCUGCCUACUGUCUUGCAGUGAUAUGUUUGGUUUCUUAUUGGAUUUUCACCUGUGGACGUUAAAUUCUAACUUUGAAAAUAUUAUUCUGCUGAAUUUUAAUGAUAUGGGAUCAAUUAAACCCUUUUCUAAUUGCAUGGAAUUUGCUUUUAUACCAUUUAUACAGCACUUCGGCUUUAGAGCAUUCCCAAUGGUAAAACACUUUUAGUGGUGCCACAUAGGAUGGUUUUAAGGAAUUUUGGGGUUUUCAAUGGUUUUAGCGAAAAAGGGGUUUUAGUGUUUCCAAUGGUGGAUUAUUGAAACCGUAAUCUAUGUGGGGUAUGGAUCCAUACCGCACUCAUUGUGGCGGAUGGAUCUUCUUUUAGAUGAGUCCAUACCGCACUAAUUGUGGGGUAUGGAUCCAUACCACACUUAUUGUGGGGUAUAGAUCCAUACCCCACUAAUUGUGGCGGAUGGAUUCCUACGUGACACUUUUAACUAGUUAAAAGUGUUUUGCUUGAAAAGUGUGUUAAAAGCUAUCAUUGGCAAGUGUUUUCACUAAAAGUUAACUAAAAGUGUGCUAAAACCUACCAUUGGGAAUGCUCUCAGGUUCUAUGGAUCGACCUAAGAUCAAUUUAACCCUAAGAUUCUAAGAAAUGAUAGUUAGAACUUAGAAGUGAGGCAUAUAUGAUUGUGUGUUGGUAUUGAUUGAUGGUGGAUAUUGAAAUCUUUUCUGCCAUAUAAUGAUCAAUUGACCAAGACUGCCAUAGACAUUGUGACGAAAGCUAUUUUGACAAAAAAUAAGUAAAAAUAAAAUAAAAUGAUAAUUGAUAAUUUAGUUAAAAAUAAAUAAA